GAUGAACGCUGGCGGCGCGCCUAACACAUGCAAGUCGAACGGUUAAAGCACCUUCGGGUGUGUAUAAAGUGGCGAACGGCUGAGUAACACGUGGGCAACCUGCCCCUCUCAUUGGGAUAGCCACGGGAAACCGUGGAUAAUACCGAAUACUUCGGGACUUCCGCAUGGAAGACUCGAGAAAGCUCCGGCGGAGAGGGAUGGGCCCGCGGCCUGUUAGCUUGUUGGUGGGGUAAUGGCCUACCAAGGCAAUGAUGGGUAGCUGGGUUGAGAGACCGACCAGCCAGAUUGGGAAUGAGAAACGGCCCAGACUCCUACGGGAGGCAGGAGUGGGGAAUCCUGCAACAUGGGCGAAAGCCCGAUGCAGCGACGCCGCGUGCGGGAUGAAGGCCUUCGGGUUGGAAACCGCUUUCAGCAGGGAAGAGGCGAAAGUGACGGGACCUGCAGAAGAAGCCCCGGCUAACUACGUG
rnacentral:rRNA from 1 species